UCCCGGCCCAGCGCCUUGGCCUGGGCCACCAGCUCCUUGUCUGUGGGCGAGCGGUCAAAGGCGUCCAUAAUCUCGGCGGCGAAGACCGAGGAGCGCCGCAGCACCUCCAUGGCGGCGACGCGGCCUCAUAAGACACGCCUCUUUCCUCUUCACCCUCCGCCAUGAUUGUAAGUUUCCUGAGGCCUCCCAGCCAUGCUUCCUGUACAGCCUGUGGAACGCCUUCCUCUCCCCCUCCUCCUCCCUUCCCUCCCUCCCUCCCUCCUGGCAUGAACCUGGUGGGUUAGGACAACAGACACUUGACUCUCUCACAGUUCCUGAGGCUGGAAGUCCAGAAGUCGGGGUGCUGGCAGGAUGUGCUCUUCUGAAGCCUCCAGGGCAGGGCCAGCCACAUGCCCAUCUCCUCGCUCGGGCACCUGCCGGCGGUCCCCGGCGGUCCCCGGCUCAUUGCUGCAUGGCUCCGACGUCCGCCUCUCCUGCCACGUGGCCUCCUCCUGGUGCCUCUGUGUCCAGCUCUCCCGCUCUGUCUAAGGACAACAGUGACUGGUCAUGGGACCCAUCCUAAUCCAGGGUGACCUCGUAUUAACCUGAUCACAUCUGCAAAGACUAUUUCCAAGUCCAGCCACACUCCCAGCUGCUGGGGGCGGGACUUGAACGUAUUUUUUGUGGGGACACAAUUCCCCUCUCAGGUUUUAAGAUUUGUCUUUAUCAUUAAAGUUUUC